UGGGGAAUAUUGGACAAUGGGGGCAACCCUGAUCCAGCAAUGCCGCGUGUGUGAAGAAGGCCUGCGGGUUGUAAAGCACUUUUGGCAGGGAUGAAAAGCACUGGAUUAAUAACCCAGUGUGUUGACCUAACCUGCAGAAGAAGCACCGGCUAACUCUGUGCCAGCAGCCGCGGUAAUACAGGGGGUGCGAGCGUUAAUCGGAAUUACCGGGCGUAAAGGGCGCGUAGGCGGUCGAGUAAGUCGGAUGUGAAAUCCCCGGGCUUAACCUGGGAAUUGCAUUCGAUACUGCUUGGCUAGAGUGUGGAAGAGGGAAGCGGAAUUUCCGGUGUAGCGGUGAAAUGCGUAGAGAUCGGAAAGAACACUCGUGGCGAAGGCGGCUUUCUGGCCCAUAACUGACGCUGAGGUGCGAAAGCAUGGGGAGCAAACAGGAUUAGAUACCCCCGUAGUCCCUGAGCGGGCUGGCAAGGCGCAU
rnacentral:rRNA from 1 species